UACGUAGGGCGCAAGCGUUAUCCGGAAUUAUUGGGCGUAAAGAGCUCGUAGGCGGUUUGUCGCGUCUGCCGUGAAAGUCCGGGGCUCAACUCCGGAUCUGCGGUGGGUACGGGCAGACUAGAGUGAUGUAGGGGAGACUGGAAUUCCUGGUGUAGCGGUGAAAUGCGCAGAUAUCAGGAGGAACACCGAUGGCGAAGGCAGGUCUCUGGGCUGAGAUUGACGCUCAGGCACGAAAGCGUGGGGAGCAAACAGG
rnacentral:rRNA from 1 species